UGCGAUUCCCAUUGGCCGAAGCGGCUGUCCGUCAUGCGGCGGGGGCGGGGCACAGGCGACUUCCGUUGCUAGGCAGCGCCUGGGCCUGGGCCGCGCCUGACAGCGGGGCGGCUGCUCACCUGCUGCCCGGUGGGAGUGCUUUGACUACUUUCGACACUUUUCGCCAGUAGGAUCAGGUGAAUGCCAAGCUUGCCUCUUUCAUUUUGCACAUCUGGACUUGUACGAUCUCUGCAGGUACUAUCCUCUUGCCGAACUAUCGCCAACAGCAAACGGUUUUUUAAUCACUUCACAAACCCGAACUACACGGAAAAUAAAGAAAACACCCAGGCCCAUCUUAAACAUAAAGAACUAAAGAACGGGGGGAAUGAUCAACUUGGGGUAAAAUGCAAACAUCUGCCAAUACCCCCCACCUGGUGCUGUGAGAGGGGGUGCCACAACUGUGUAUGGAUUUCAUAUGCAGAAGAAAUGUCAGAAUACUACCAGGAUGCUGGACUAAAAGUCUACAAGGCCAUUGACGAACACGUUAAAGAUGAAAAUCUGAAGGCGUUUAUUAAAAUGGAAAUAAAAUUGCAACAGAAAUUGUAA